rnacentral:sRNA from 1 species
AUUCCAUACAAAUUCUAUAUACAAUUGCAAAAUUGCGAGUUAGAACUACGGAGUACAUGCGUAUAAGAUCCAAAGUUGUUUAACUACUUAGAUAAAAACUAUAGUGAUAUUAGCUACACCAAGCCUGACUGAGGAGCGGCAAGCCUGUGCAAAGGCAACUAACUCCCCAUAAUGUGAUAUCAGAGCUGUUUAAUCACCUUGAAUUUUCAGAGGGAAAAAAAAAAAAAAAUUGAAAAAGGAAAGAUAGCCUGCAUCAACAACAAUAGAGGCUACGUACAACCCACACAAAGAAAUGGGGACAGUCAGCAUUUCUCCCGUACAAAUAGUUACCACGCCUUUCCUUUCUGUUCUCUCAAAACUGAGGUCCUCUCCCCUCCUACCCCGGAGC